AAGCUCAAUUUUGAAGCGAGUUAUGCGUCUUCAAAAUUGGAGGUGAGACGCAGAGAAAGAGACAGUCAUUUUCUCUGCCGUCUCUCACUCUCUAACCUCCAACUUUAAAGGCGCAUAACUCGCUUCAAAAUAGAGUUU
rnacentral:sRNA from 13 species